CUAACAAUCAGCCGUCACCAACAACAGCUCUCGUCUCUCUCCUUGGUACAAACCUAAAAAUUCAGCCAUCAAAUCCUUAUCUCCACCAACACUUCACCAGCGAUCGCUUCAUGGCUUCAUCGCUUGACCAGAAAAGCACUAAAGCGCACGAUUCAUGGAAAACACUCGCCUCAUGUCAUAUAAGGCGCAGCAACCCAAAGAAAAGCAUCAUCAUGUCUGUUCUCUUGCUUUGCAUCGUUGGUUCAAGUCUUAUGACUUGUAUUGCUUACCAAACUAAAGAAAAAUGCCGGGCAUAUGGUGCUGAUUUGUGUGGUUAUUCUUUUGAUCAUGCACCAAGUGUCUGUGAAGCUUACGGGUGCAGCGGAGAUUGCAUCCGAAUUGUGCCGUUGAAUCAAAGAAUAAUAAAAUCACUUUGUGUUGGCAGUUA